UGCGCAGGCGGUUAUGUAAGACAGAUGUGAAAUCCCCGGGCUCAACCUGGGAACUGCAUUUGUGACUGCAUGGCUAGAGUACGGUAGAGGGGGAUGGAAUUCCGCGUGUAGCAGUGAAAUGCGUAGAUAUGCGGAGGAACACCGAUGGCGAAGGCAAUCCCCUGGACCUGUACUGACGCUCAUGCACGAAAGCGUGGGAGCAAACA
rnacentral:rRNA from 1 species